rnacentral:rRNA from 1 species
GACGAACGCUGGCGGCGUGCCUAAUACAUGCAAGUAGAACGCUGAAGAGAGGAGCUUGCUCUUCUUGGAUGAGUUGCGAACGGGUGAGUAACGCGUAGGUAACCUGCCUGGUAGCGGGGGAUAACUAUUGGAAACGAUAGCUAAUACCGCAUAAAAUUGAUUAUUGCAUGAUAGUCAAUUGAAAGGUGCAACUGCACCACUACCAGAUGGACCUGCGUUGUAUUAGCUAGUUGGUGGGGUAACGGCUCACCAAGGCGACGAUACAUAGCCGACCUGAGAGGGUGAUCGGCCACACUGGGACUGAGACACGGCCCAGACUCCUACGGGAGGCAGCAGUAGGGAAUCUUCGGCAAUGGACGGAAGUCUGACCGAGCAACGCCGCGUGAGUGAAGAAGGUUUUCGGAUCGUAAAGCUCUGUUGUAAGAGAAGAACGAGUGUGAGAGUGGAAAGUUCACAC